rnacentral:piRNA from 1 species
UGUUAGGGCUAGAGAGUGCUCUUCC